rnacentral:rRNA from 1 species
CUCCGGUUGAUCCUGCCGGACCCGACUGCUAUCGGAUUGAGAUUUAGCCAUGCGAGUCGAACGUCCCCCUGUUGCGGGGGGCGUGGCGUACGGCUCAGUAACACGUAGUCAACCUGCCCUGGAGACAAGGACAACCCCGGGAAACUGGGAUUAAUCCUUGAUAGGUCAUCUCAUCUGGAAGGAGAGAUGGCUUAAAGGGGUACGCGGGCUUCUUCCGCGAAUCUGCUCCAGGAUGGGACUGCGUCCGAUCAGGCUGUUGGCGGGGUAAUGGCCCACCAAACCUGUAACCGGUACGGGCCUUGAGAGAGGUGGCCCGGAGAUGGACACUGAGAGAAGGGUCCAGGUCCUACGGGGCGCAGCAGGCGCGAAACCUUCGCAAUGCGCGAAAGCGUGACGAGGUUAAUCCGAGUGACUCCCGCUGAGGGGGUCUUUUGUCAGCUGUAAAUAGGCAGGCGAAUAAGGGGUGGGCAAGUCUGGUGUCAGCCGCCGCGGUAAUACCAGCACCUCGAGUGGUCAGGACGUUUAUUGGGCCUAAGGCAUCCGUAGCCGGCUUUGCAAGUCUCCGGUUAAAUCCACCUGCUCAACAGAUGGGCUGCUGGAGAUACUACAAAGCUAGGGAGUGGGAGAGGCAGACGGUAUUCAGUGGGUAGGGGUAAAAUCCUCUGAUCCAUCGAGGACCACCAGUGGCGAAGGCGGUCUGCCAGAACACGUUCGACGGUGAGGGAUGAAAGCUGGGGGAGCAAACCGGAUUAGAUACCCGGGUAGUCCCAGCUGUAAACGAUGCAAACUCGGUGAUGCAUUGGCUUAUGGCCAAUGCAGUGCCGCAGGGAAGCCGUUAAGUUUGCCGCCUGGGAAGUACGGACGCAAGUCUGAAACUUAAAGGAAUUGGCGGGGGAGCA